UGAUCAGAGACAUUGUCCCAUGCUUCGUAGAGACCUUGCGAUAGAAUCGGCGGAGACGGGGGUCACCGAUUUGACGGCAUUGCCCGCGAUCAUGGAGACAUUGUUGAUGAUCACAGAGACAGCGUCUAUGAUCUCAGAGACAUCGUCCACGAUCACAAAGUCAUUGUCCAUGAUCACAGAGACUUUGUCCAUAAUCUCAGAGACACUGUCCGCGAUCACAGAGACGUAGUCCACGAUCACAGAGUCUUUGUACACUGAAGAAGUUCUUUGAGACCGGGACAGAGGCCUCCAGGUGUCACCACUUUGUCAACGACAUCAUCCACGAUUGCAGAGACUUCGUCCAUGAUCGGAGAGACAUUGUUGAGGAUGAGGGAGACAUCGUCAAUGAUCAAAAACAUUGUCCAUGAUCACAGAGACCUUGUCAAAGACGAGAGAGACGUUGUCCAUGAUCAGAGACAUUGUCCCAUGCUUCGUAGAGACCUUGCGAUAGAAUCGGCGGAGACGGGGGUCACCGAUUUGACGGCAUUGCCCGCGAUCAUGGAGACAUUGUCGAUGAUCACAGAGACAGCGUCUAUGAUCUCAGAGACAUCAUCCACGAUCACAAAGUCAUUGUCCAUGAUCACAGAGACUUUGUCCAUAAUCUCAGAGACAUUGUCCGCGAUCACAGAGACGUAGUCCUCUAUCGCAGGAGUCUUUGUACAAUGAAGAAGUUCUUUGAGACCAGGACAGAGGCCUCCAGGUGUCACCACUUUGUCCAAGACAUUGUCCACGCUCACAGAGAUGUCGUCCACAAUCGCUGAGACAUGGUCCAUGAUCGGAGAGACAUUGUUGAGGAUGAGGGAGACAUCGUCAAUGAUCAAAAACAUUGUCCGUGAUUGCAGAGACCUUGUCAAAGACGAGAGAGACGUUGUCCAUGAUCAGAGACAUUGUCCCAUGCUUCGUAGAGACCUUGCGAUAGAAUCGGCGGAGACGGGGGUCACCGAUUUGACGGCAUUGCCCGCGAUCAUGGAGACAUUGCCGAUGAUCACAGAGACAGUGUCUAUGAUCUCAGAGACAUCGUCCACGAUCACAAAGUCAUUGUCCAUGAUCACAGAGACUUUGUCCAUAAUCUCAGAGACAUUGUCCGCGAUCACAGAGACGUAGUCCACGAUUGCAGGAGUCUUUGUACAAUGAAGAAGUUCUUUGAGACCAGGACAGAGGCCUCCAGGAGAAGAUGAGAGCAGCUGAAGACCUGAAGUGGAUGAAAGAAAACAAAAGUGUUAAGAAGCUGUUAAUUAGAUAAAAGACCUCCACCAUCUAACUGCUAUAAACAAACAGUUAUUGUUCAAGUGGAAACACUUUGUUUUUCUCUACAAUUUGUAAUGUAGUCAUGGGCACAUUUUCAAAAGACUUAAUUAAACACCUUUAAGAACGUUC